CAUUAACUGAAUCCAUAGGUUAAUGAGGCGAACCGGGGGAACUGAAACAUCUAAGUACCCCGAGGAAAAGAAAUCAACCGAGAUUCCCCCAGUAGCGGCGAGCGAACGGGGAGCAGCCCAGAGCCUGAAUCAGUAUGUGUGUUAGUGGAAGCGUCUGGAAAGGCGCGCGAUACAGGGUGACAGCCCCGUACACAAAAAUGCACAUGCUGUGAGCUCGAUGAGUAGGGCGGGACACGUGGUAUCCUGUCUGAAUAUGGGGGGACCAUCCUCCAAGGCUAAAUACUCCUGACUGACCGAUAGUGAACCAGUACCGUGAGGGAAAGGCGAAAAGAACCCCGGCGAGGGGAGUGAAAAAGAACCUGAAACCGUGUACGUACAAGCAGUGGGAGCACGCUUAGGCGUGUGACUGCGUACCUUUUGUAUAAUGGGUCAGCGACUUAUAUUCUGUAGCAAGGUUAACCGAAUAGGGGAGCCGAAGGGAAACCGAGUCUUAACUGGGCGUUAAGUUGCAGGGUAUAGACCCGAAACCCGGUGAUCUAGCCAUGGGCAGGUUGAAGGUUGGGUAACACUAACUGGAGGACCGAACCGACUAAUGUUGAAAAAUUAGCGGAUGACUUGUGGCUGGGGGUGAAAGGCCAAUCAAACCGGGAGAUAGCUGGUUCUCCCCGAAAGCUAUUUAGGUAGCGCCUCGUGAAUUCAUCUCCGGGGGUAGAGCACUGUUUCGGCAAGGGGGUCAUCCCGACUUACCAACCCGAUGCAAACUGCGAAUACCGGAGAAUGUUAUCACGGGAGACACACGGCGGGUGCUAACGUCCGUCGUGAAGAGGGAAACAACCCAGACCGCCAGCUAAGGUCCCAAAGUCAUGGUUAAGUGGGAAACGAUGUGGGAAGGCCCAGACAGCCAGGAUGUUGGCUUAGAAGCAGCCAUCAUUUAAAGAAAGCGUAAUAGCUCACUGGUCGAGUCGGCCUGCGCGGAAGAUGUAACGGGGCUAAACCAUGCACCGAAGCUGCGGCAGCGACGCUGAUGCGUUGUUGGGUA
rnacentral:rRNA from 1 species